rnacentral:rRNA from 1 species
AUUGAACGCUGGCGGAAUGCUUUACACAUGCAAGUCGAACGGCAGCACGGGGUCAGCCCUGGUGGCGAGUGGCGAACGGGUGAGUAAUACAUCGGAACGUGCCCGGUCGUGGGGGAUAACGUAGCGAAAGUUACGCUAAUACCGCAUACGAUCUGAGGAUGAAAGCGGGGGACCUUCGGGCCUCGCGCGAUCGGAGCGGCCGAUGUUAGGUUCGGUCGUUGGUGGGGUAAAGGCCUACCCAGCCGACGAUCUGUAGCUGGUCUGGGAGGACGACCCGCCACACUGGGACUUGGACACGGCCCAGACUCCUACGGGAGGCAGCAGUGGGGAAUUUUGGACAAUGGGCGCAAGCCUGAUCCAGCCAUUCCGCGUGCAGGACGAAGGCCUUCGGGUUGUAAACUGCUUUUGUACGGAACGAAAAGGCUCUGGCUAAUACCUGGCGCUCAUGACGGUACCGUAAGAAUAAGCACCGGCUAACUACGUG